UAACAAGGUCUCCGUUGGUGAACCAGCGGAGGGAUCAUUAAAGAGUUGCAAAACUCCAACCCCUGUGAACCUUACCUGCACGUUGCUUCGGCGGCCGACGCCGCGCCCCGCCGGGCGUGGAGGACGCCGCCGGAGGUCACAAACCCUGAAUUCUAGUGUGUCUCUGAGUAUGGAAAGAACCAAUCAAAACUUUCAACAACGGAUCUCUUGGCUCUGGCAUCGAUGAAGAACGCAGCGAAAUGCGAUAAGUAAUGUGAAUUGCAGAAUUCAGUGAAUCAUCGAAUCUUUGAACGCACAUUGCGCCCGCCGGUAUUCCGGCGGGCAUGCCUGUCCGAGCGUCAUUUCACCACUCAAGCCCAGCUUGGUGUUGGGGCACCCGGCCGCCUGGCGGUCCGGGGCUCCCAAGUACAUCGGCGGUCCCGCCAGGGGCUCCGAGCGCAGUAACUCGCGGUAAAACGCGCCCUCGCUCGGCGGCCUCUUCGGGCUUCCAGCCGCUAAAUCCCCCCAGCGACGUUUCUCGAGUUGACCUCGGAUCAGGUAGGAAUACCCGCUGAACUUAAGCAUAUCAUAA
rnacentral:rRNA from 1 species